CCAGCCCCUGACCUGCUGGCACCACAGAUGCGGCUGCCUUGCUGGACCUGUGGCAUCGGGCACAGAAGAAGUGGCUAUUUCUACGCGCAGUGCUCAGAACAGUGAGCACUAAGAAGGAUUUGUAGCCUGACAUUC